AUUGAACGCUGGCGGCAGGCUUAACACAUGCAAGUCGAACGAUGAAACUCUAGCUUGCUAGAGAAGAUUAGUGGCGGACGGGUGAGUAACAUUUAGGAAUCUGCCUAGUAGUGGGGGAUAGCUCGGGGAAACUCGAAUUAAUACCGCAUACGACCUACGGGUGAAAGGGGGCGCAAGCUCUUGCUAUUAGAUGAGCCUAAAUCAGAUUAGCUAGUUGGUGGGGUAAAGGCCCACCAAGGCGACGAUCUGUAACUGGUCUGAGAGGAUGAUCAGUCACACCGGAACUGAGACACGGUCCGGACUCCUACGGGAGGCAGCAGUGGGGAAUAUUGGACAAUGGGGGCAACCCUGAUCCAGCCAUGCCGCGUGUGUGAAGAAGGCCUUUUGGUUGUAAAGCACUUUAAGCAGGGAGGAGAGGCUAAUGGUUAAUACCCAUUAGAUUAGACGUUACCUGCAGAAUAAGCACCGGCUAACUCUGUGCCAGCAGCCGCGGUAAUACAGAGGGUGCGAGCGUUAAUCGGAAUUACUGGGCGUAAAGCGAGUGUGGGUGGCUCAUUAAGUCACAUGUGAAAUCCCCGGGCUUAACCUGGGAACUGCAUGUGAUACUGGUGGUGCUAGAAUAUGUGAGAGGGAAGUAGAAUUCCAGGUGUAGCGGUGAAAUGCGUAGAGAUCUGGAGGAAUACCGAUGGCGAAGGCAGCUUCCUGGCAUAAUAUUGACACUGAGAUUCGAAAGCGUGGGUAGCAAACAGGAUUAGGUACCCUGGUAGUCCACGCCGUAAACGAUGUCUACUAGCCGUUGGGGUCCUUGAGACUUUAGUGGCGCAGUUAACGCGAUAAGUAGACCGCCUGGGGAGUACGGCCGCAAGGUUAAAACUCAAAUGAAUUGACGGGGGCCCGCACAAGCGGUGGAGCAUGUGGUUUAAUUCGAUGCAACGCGAAGAACCUUACCUGGUCUUGACAUAGUGAGAAUCCUGCAGAGAUGCGGGAGUGCCUUCGGGAAUUCACAUACAGGUGCUGCAUGGCUGUCGUCAGCUCGUGUCGUGAGAUGUUGGGUUAAGUCCCGCAACGAGCGCAACCCUUUUCCUUAUUUGCCAGCGGGUUAAGCCGGGAACUUUAAGGAUACUGCCAGUGACAAACUGGAGGAAGGCGGGGACGACGUCAAGUCAUCAUGGCCCUUACGACCAGGGCUACACACGUGCUACAAUGGUAGGUACAGAGGGUUGCUACACAGCGAUGUGAUGCUAAUCUCAAAAAGCCUAUCGUAGCCCGGAUUGGAGUCUGCAACUCGACUCCAUGAAGUCGGAAUCGCUAGUAAUCGCAGAUCAGAAUGCUGCGGUGAAUACGUUCCCGGGCCU
rnacentral:rRNA from 1 species